UGCUUCCCCAUUUAUGAACUUUGCGCUGCGUUUAGGGGUCUUGAAGUUCGACACUUUGAUCUUCUCCCGGAGAAAGGUUGGGAGGUUGAUCUUGAUGCAAUUGAGGUUCUUGCAGAUCAGAAUACUGUNNNNNNNNCCUGGGAAUCCUUGUGGGAAUGUAUACUCUUAUCAACAUUUGAAAGAGAUUGCAGAGACGGCAGAAAAGCAUAAAAUUCUUGUUAUUGCUGAUGAAGUUUAUGGACA
rnacentral:misc_RNA from 1 species